rnacentral:rRNA from 1 species
AGAGUUUGAUCCUGGCUCAGGAUGAACGCUGGCGGCGUGCCUAAUACAUGCAAGUCGAGCGAACGGACGAGAAGCUUGCUUCUCUGAUGUUAGCGGCGGACGGGUGAGUAACACGUGGAUAACCUACCUAUAAGACUGGGAUAACUUCGGGAAACCGGAGCUAAUACCGGAUAAUAUUUUGAACCGCAUGGUUCAAAAGUGAAAGACGGUCUUGCUGUCACUUAUAGAUGGAUCCGCGCUGCAUUAGCUAGUUGGUAAGGUAACGGCUUACCAAGGCAACGAUGCAUAGCCGACCUGAGAGGGUGAUCGGCCACACUGGAACUGAGACACGGUCCAGACUCCUACGGGAGGCAGCAGUAGGGAAUCUUCCGCAAUGGGCGAAAGCCUGACGGAGCAACGCCGCGUGAGUGAUGAAGGUCUUCGGAUCGUAAAACUCUGUUAUUAGGGAAGAACAUAUGUGUAAGUAACUGUGCACAUCUUGACGGUACCUAAUCAGAAAGCCACGGCUAACUACGUGCCAGCAGCCGCGGUAAUACGUAGGUGGCAAGCGUUAUCCGGAAUUAUUGGGCGUAAAGCGCGCGUAGGCGGUUUUUUAAGUCUGAUGUGAAAGCCCACGGCUCAACCGUGGAGGGUCAUUGGAAACUGGAAAACUUGAGUGCAGAAGAGGAAAGUGGAAUUCCAUGUGUAGCGGUGAAAUGCGCAGAGAUAUGGAGGAACACCAGUGGCGAAGGCGACUUUCUGGUCUGUAACUGACGCUGAUGUGCGAAAGCGUGGGGAUCAAACAGGAUUAGAUACCCUGGUAGUCCACGCCGUAAACGAUGAGUGCUAAGUGUUAGGGGGUUUCCGCCCCUUAGUGCUGCAGCUAACGCAUUAAGCACUCCGCCUGGGGAGUACGACCGCAAGGUUGAAACUCAAAGGAAUUGACGGGGACCCGCACAAGCGGUGGAGCAUGUGGUUUAAUUCGAAGCAACGCGAAGAACCUUACCAAAUCUUGACAUCCUUUGACAACUCUAGAGAUAGAGCCUUCCCCUUCGGGGGACAAAGUGACAGGUGGUGCAUGGUUGUCGUCAGCUCGUGUCGUGAGAUGUUGGGUUAAGUCCCGCAACGAGCGCAACCCUUAAGCUUAGUUGCCAUCAUUAAGUUGGGCACUCUAAGUUGACUGCCGGUGACAAACCGGAGGAAGGUGGGGAUGACGUCAAAUCAUCAUGCCCCUUAUGAUUUGGGCUACACACGUGCUACAAUGGACAAUACAAAGGGCAGCGAAACCGCGAGGUCAAGCAAAUCCCAUAAAGUUGUUCUCAGUUCGGAUUGUAGU